rnacentral:lncRNA from 1 species
AAUUGUAAUAUUCCUGGGUGUCCCAGGUGUCCCAGGCCCAUGAGCGACCCUCUGUGUUUUCACUUGUUGCUCUUCCUGCCGGGAUGCCCUGCCCUCUCCGUCUUUGUGUCUGAGAGGGUGAAUCAGCUGUCUUGGCAAUGAUUAGGGCAGCGACGCCAGAGUAGAUGACCUCUUUGCGUGUGAGCAACGUGGCAGCAUAUGCCGUUUGGUAAGGGGUUUGCUAGGUGAGUACGUGUGAGUAUGUGUGAUGUAUACACCUUUCCACAUCCAGCCUGGCUCCUGGCAGUGUCCUGUGGCAGAACAAGCUUCCUUCUGAGCCCCGAUUAGGCUGCAGCCCCUGAAAGGGGCCCCCAUUCCUCCUUGAAUGUCUAACCUGCAAGCUGGGCCCGUGCCUGAGCCCUGGCUUACUGCAGGACAUCUAGUCGCACCAGUGGCACCACCCAGCGUGAGCCUUUGAGAAACACGUUCCUAAGCACAGCUUCGUGGACCUGCUGGGCUGGCAGGUGCGGGAAUUUGAGCGAUUGCAAUUUGCACAGGUCGACCCUCAGGCAAGCACGCCACCAAUUAUUUCUUGGUGAGCAGCUGCAUCAGUCUUUUGUAGCAUAAUGACAGGGAGUUCGGGAAGCGAGCUUCUGUGAUGGCUUUGGCUGGGGAGCUUUUUCAGCUGCCUCUGUCUUUGCCAGCCACUGUCACUCAUUGGGUACAGAAGAGACCUCAGCCAGCUUCCUGGGGCCUGUUUGCGGCCAAGCUGCAGCUCUUCCGGCGGGGCUGCUCCAUGCCAGGCACCUGGCCUCAUCUCAUCCUCACCACAGCACUGAGAGACUCUUCCCCUUCUGCUGCUGUGUGUGUCCCUGAGGAGUCAGAGAUGAAUGCCGUUUACACCCAGUUCUUGUCUCUCCAAGUUCAUCCCCAGCCACUGUUCCGCAGACCCCCUGUGUUCUAUGUACAUCGAGCUUACGUCCAAGGAGAUGCUGUGUCCCUUAUGUCAUGUGGGCAGCCACCACGUUCUGGAGUCUUAUUCUGUGCCCGAACAUGGCAGCCUGCCACAAUGGCCAUGGACUCUUCCCCUCCCCAUACUCACACCUCCUUGCCAUACUACUUGGGGAGCCCUCUCGUUCUUACCCUAGACUUGGCCGUGAACUUGCUUUGGCGAAUGUAACAUCUGCAAAUAUGCUGCAGGUAGAAACUUGAGAAGCUUUGCCCACUGGGCUGAUCCUCUCUUGCUCUUCCUGGAGCUCUGCCUCUUUGUGAGGAAGCCCGGGCCAGCCUUCUGGAUGCUGAAAGACCCCUGGCCCAUUUGCAUCUGCUGCCUUGUUAACAUUCUGUCAACUGCCAGACGUGUGAGUGAGUCAUUCUGGAUCAUCUGGCCCCCAGCCCACCACCGGCUGGGCACAGACACACAAGAAAGAGCCCAGAGCACCGGAACCAUCCAACUGACCCACAGAAUCCUCUGCUAAAUAAACGCGUGUUGAUUUAAAAUGCUAAAUUUGGGGUGGUUUGUUAUGCAGCAAGACCUAACUGAUACUAGACGUUGUGUUUUAGUGGCGUAACAAACCACGGCAAACUUAAUUGAUUAAAACAACCACUUUCUCAAGCUUGUGGAUAUGAAUUAGGGAUCUGGACAGGGUGUGGCAGGAAUGAUAUGUCUCUGUUCUCUGAUGUCUGGGGCCUCAGCUAGGAAGACCCAAGGCCUGAUAACCUGGAGUAUUGAAUAUAGGGUCUGGAAUCGUCUGGAAGUGAAUUCACUCACUUGUGUUGUGGAUGCUGUGUGUUAGCUGGCAUCUCCACAGGGGUUGCUUGCUGGAGCAGCUGCUCGUGGCCUUUCCGUGUGGCCCGAGCUCCCCACAGUGUGGGGGCUUCCAGGUGGCUGGGCUUUAAUGGAGGCCCAGGUUUCAAAGGCGAGGAUGCCUGCUAACAAUGGGGAGGGGGAUUGCUUUUUAGGGACCUGUGCCAGAAGUCACUUGGCAUCACGUCUGCCCCUCCUGCCACUUACGGGCCAAUCACAAGUCUCUGCUCCCCCCAGGUUCAAGGGAAGGGAAUUUGACUCCACCUUGAGGAUCGAGUGGCAAGGUUGUAGAUGAGUCCUUGGAGCAGGAAAUGCACUGUGAUCUCGUUGGGAAAAUAGAAUCUGUCCCCCAUCAUCUUGUGUGCACGCGGUUCCUACAACAACCCAGUGAAGUGGCGCCUCUUAUUAUCCCCCUUUUUCAGAUGAGAAAACUGAGGCUCAGACGGUUGGUGAUGCGCCGCUCGAGGGCGCGUAGUCAGGAAGGUCGGAGCUGAGCCUGUCCGUUGCCCUGCCCUGCCUUUCCUGGGCUGCCUUUUGACUGGAUCCCAUGUCAGUCGACUUUCUGCUCCUCUCUCAGCUUUGCGCUUUGUCUGCGCGCCAAUGGGUACCAUCUAGCAAGCAGCUGUACCUCCCAGCAUCCCACCCCAUCCUCUUGGGGGUCCCUGCUGUUUCCCCAGUGACCAUUCAGAGGCCAGGGGUCUGUUUUUGUGGGGGAGGGGGAGGGACGUAAAUCACAUCUUGACCCAUCACCACCCUCCUUCCUCAUACAAAGACAGAUGAAGGUCUUUUAAAUCCCCNNNNNNNNNNNNNNNNNNNNNNNNNNNNNNNNNNNNNNNNNNNNNNNNNNNNNNNNNNNNNNNNNNNNNNNNNNNNNNNNNNNNNNNNNNNNNNNNNNNNNNNNNNNNNNNNCCCCCCCCCCCCCGCCCCCGCGUCAUAUGGAAAUUCCCGGCCAGGGGUUGAUUCGGAGUUGCAGCUGCUGGCCUACAUCUGUGGUCUAUCCCAUGGCUCUCGACAAUGUCGGAUCCUUAACCCACUUAACUCACUGAGCGAGGCCAGGGAUCGAACCUGCAUCCUCAUGGAUAGCAGUCGGGUUCUUAACCUGCUGAGCCACAAUGGAAACUCCAAAGACAGAUGAAGUUUGAAGGUGCCUAGUAGGCAUCUUGAACUUAAGUCCUAAGAGGAUGGCGAUGGGGGUCACGUCUCUGGACUUUAAAAGUUUAUUUUCUGUGUUACAAAAAUUAUCACCACAUGAGUAUUUAUUUGCAGCCCAGUUUCCUACUCUGACCCUCCCCUGACACACCAACAAUUCCAACUUCGCCCACAGACAUUUUCCCCUCCCUUCUUAGGAAAAAAAUAGGAGGCCCCAUAGCAGCAGCAGGGUUCUGUGAAGUUUUAAAAAUAACUUUUAUUGAUUAUAAAAUACAUGUAGGAUGCGUGUGGACGGACAAAAUGUCCAUUAACAGGAGGAUAGAAUAGGGUUGUCAGAUAGAAUACAGAAUACUCUGUUGAAUUUGUCUUAUUUUAUUUUUUGUCUUUUGUCUUUUUAUUUUUAUUUAUUUAUUUAUUUUUUGUCUUUUUGCCUUUUCUAGGGCUGCACCCGCCACAUAUGGAGGUUCCCAGGCCAGGGGUCCAAUUGGAGCUGCAGCUGCUGGCCUACACCGCAGCCACAGCAACGUGGGAUCCGAGCUGCGUCUGUGAGUAACACCACAGCUCAUGGCAAUGCCAGAUCCUUAACCCACUGAGCAAGGCCAGGGACUGAACCCGCAACCUCAUGGUUCCUAGUCGGAUUCAUUAACCACUGAGCCACGACGGGAACUCCUCUUUUGUAUUUUUAGGGUUGCACCCUUGGCAUGUGGAGGUUCCCAGGCUAGGGGUCGAAUCGGAGCUACAGCCACAGCAACGCCAGAUCCAAGCAGUGUCUGUAACCUACACCACAGCUCACGGCAAUGCCUGCUCCUUAACCUGCUGAGCAAGGCCAGGGAUCGAACCUGCAUCCUCAUGGAUGCUAGUUGGGUUCGUUAACUGCUGAGCCACAAUGGGAACUCCUAAAUUUGAGUCUCUGAUUAAAAAACAAUACUUUUUGCAGCAAGCUCAUCUCAUGCUUAUAAAAGGGCCCACAUUGCAAGUGUACAGUUUGAUGAACUGUCUCUCACAAAGUGAACAUAUCUGUGUAAACAGCACUCAGAUCAAGAAACAGAACAUCCCAGGCUCCUCAAACUUCCCUUGUGUUCCCAUCCACGAGCUGCCCAUCUCCCCACUAUUCUUUUUUUUUUCUUUUUUCUUUUUUUUAAUUUUCCCACUGUACAGCAAGGGGAUCAAGUUAUCCUUACAUGUAUACAUUACAAUUACAUUUUUUUCCCCACCCUUUGUUCUGUUGCAACAUGAGUAUCUAGACA